GUGAGGAAUAUUGGUCAAUGGGCGGGAGCCUGAACCAGCCAAGUCGCGUGAAGGAAGAAGGAUCUAUGGUUCGUAAACUUCUUUUGCAGGGGAAUAAAGUGCGGGACGUGUCCUGUUUUGUAUGUACCCUGAGAAUAAGGAUCGGCUAACUCCGUGCCAGCAGCCGCGGUAAUACGGAGGAUCCGAGCGUUAUCCGGAGUUAUUGGGUUUAAAGGGUGCGUAGGUGGUUUGAUAAGUCAGCGGUGAAAGUUUGCAGCUUAACUGUAAAAAUGCCGUUGAAACUGUCGGACUUGAGUGUAAAUGAGGUAGGCGGAAUGCGUGGUGUAGCGGUGAAAUGCAUAGAUAUCACGCAGAACUCCGAUUGCGAAGGCAGCUUACUAAGCUACAACUGACACUGAAGCACGAAAGCGUGGGGAUCAAACAAGAUUAGAUACCCUUGUAGUCC
rnacentral:rRNA from 1 species